GACGAACGCUGGCGGCGUGCUUAACACAUGCAAGUCGAACGGAAAGGCCCUGCUUUUGUGGGGUGCUCGAGUGGCGAACGGGUGAGUAACACGUGAGUAACCUGCCCUUGACUUUGGGAUAACUUCAGGAAACUGGGGCUAAUACCGGAUAGGAGCCCCUGCUGCAUGGUGGGCGUUGGAACGUUUCGGCGGUUGGGGAUGGACUCGCGGCUUAUCAGCUUGUUGGUGGGGUAGGGGCUUACCAAGGCUUUGACGGGUAGCCGGCCUGUGAGGGUGACCGGGCACAUUGGGACUGAGAUACGGCCCAGACUCCUACGGGAGGCAGCAGUGGGGAAUAUUGCACAAUGGGCGGAAGUCUGAUGCAGCAACGCCGCGUGCGGGAUGACGGCCUUCGGGUUGUAAACCGCUUUCGCCUGUGACGAAGCGGGAGUGACGGUAAUGGGUAAAGAAGCACCGGCUAACUACGUG
rnacentral:rRNA from 1 species